rnacentral:rRNA from 1 species
AAUGUUUUCAUUAAUCAAGAACGAAAGUUAGAGGUUCGAAGGCGAUCAGAUACCGCCCUAGUUCUAACCGUAAACUAUGCCUACAGAUGUAUGAAUUAUUAGUUAUAAUAAUUUAUGCAUCUUCUCGGAAACGAAAGUCUUUCGGUUCCGGGGGAAGUAUGGUUGCAAAGCUGAAACUUAAAGGAAUUGACGGAAGGGCACCACCAGGAGUGGAGCCUGCGGCUUAAUUUGACUCAACACGGGAAAACUCACCCGGGCCGGACACUAUAAGGAUUGACAGAUUGAUAGCUCUUUCAUGAUUUAGUGGUUGGUGGUGCAUGGCCGUUCUUAGUUCGUGGAUAUGAUUUGUCUGGUUGAUUCCGAUAACGAGCGAGACUUUUAUGUUAUAUUAAAUAUUAUUAUUUUGUUUAUUUUAAUAUAAAUAAUUAAUAUUUUAAUAACAGAUUAAUAGUGUUUAACUAUUUGAGAGAGAGCGAUAACAGGUCUGUGAUGCCCUUAGAUGUCCGGGGCUGCACGCGCGCUACAAUGUAGUGAUC